rnacentral:tRNA from 1 species
GCCCCAGCGGUCUACCGGGUUGGACGCCUGGUUCUCAGCCAGGAGGUAGCGGGUUCGACUCCCGCCUGGAGUG